GUCGGAGCAUCAGUGGAUUUGAUUCUUUCCAGACAGUCAGGCCACGCUGCUUCUCAACUCUCCGAUACGGUGGUCUAACACUAAUCUGCUUCACAACACUCCUUACGAAGUCAUCGGCGGGAAGAACAUCUUGGUUUGGCAAGGAGGACCUCCAGGGAGUAAAGAAGCCGAAAUCUGCCCAAAGAGAGGAAAAAUCGCAACUAAGGAAAAAUGUUGAGCAUUCUCCUUUUCAACGUUCAUAAAGCCGAGCGUCAGAGAGCGAAACUCCCUAUACUCUACCCGACCUGGGAAAGGGGAACGUCCCAAUAAAGAUGACAUCCUGCCAUCGAA